GGCGAGUCAACGGGCCGCUCUCCCAGGCCGCGGCGGCUCCGAAGCAUGGGGCCCGGGCCUCCAGGCUGCAGCUCGGCACCCACAGACAUGCAUGUGUGCCCGGUCUACCCCGAGGACUCAGCGGGCGGGCGGGGUCGCUGAGGUGGCCUCCCAUUUCUGGAGCUGCUGGCAGCCACCCUGGCAUCCACCAAGAGGAGAGAACCUCCUGAGAACAAAGCCGACUCACAGGAAAGGUGACCUCAGAGGUGAAGAGAGACAAGAGUCCCGACGACGUUGUCCGAGACCCUGGAUUCAGCGAGGCCUGAAGUCAAACUAUUCAAGGCUCCUCAGAUCCGUCUCUGCUCCAACAUCACCUCCUCGGAGGCCUUCCCCGACCACCCUAUAGGAAACAGCCCCCUUUGUCCUUGUCCAUCCCUGUACCCGGCUUCAUUCUCUGUGUGGCACUUCUCACGACCCAACAUA